UACGAAGGGGGCUAGCGUUGCUCGGAAUGACUGGGCGUAAAGGGCGCGUAGGCGGAUGGCACAGUCAGAUGUGAAAUUCCUGGGCUUAACCUGGGGGCUGCAUUUGAUACGUGUUGUCUAGAGCGAGGAAGAGGGUUGUGGAAUUCCCAGUGUAGAGGUGAAAUUCGUAGAUAUUGGGAAGAACACCGGUGGCGAAGGCGGCAACCUGGUCCUUGACUGACGCUGAGGCGCGAAAGCGUGGGGAGCAAACAGG
rnacentral:rRNA from 1 species